AUGGCACAACACUGCGCAAAUUAUAGAGUCCAGAUUACUAAGAAAGGAAUGGAUGUACCUCCAUUUGUAACAGAAGAACAUUCCCCGCUUAAGGACCUAAGGAACACAUCUAUGGAUGGGAGUGCAAAUCUCAAGGAUAAUCAAACCAAUAAUCCUAAUACUAAUGAUCCUAAAAGGAAAAGUGUUCAAUCAUGGUACAUGUGUGACCUCUACAGCCUCAAUCUCUGCAAAUACACCUCAAAUGCACACUUCAGAUACAUGUGUGACCUCUGCAGCCCCAAUCUCUACAAAUACACCUCAAACACCAGCUUCAGCAGCCAACAACAAAUAGGAGCAUCUGCCAACAAACAAGGUGGGAAAACAUGGUAUGCCAACCUAAGCAACGAAAAGAAGGCUGAGCACCUAAGGAAGCUCCGGAUGGCUCGCGAACAGAAGAGAACCACAGCUCUUGUUCUGAAUGUUGAUGUACCUCCAUCAUCCACGCAGAAAGGAGAUGUCGUCCAACGUGUUUGUACAUCAAUUGCCUACUUUACCUAUAGAUCAACAGUGGUUGGAAGCGCUUCUAAUUGUGGUUACAACAGCAAGGUAAAUCAAUACGUCAUCAAUAACUGGCAUAUUCUUGCAGCAUAUGAAGUUCAAAUAGAGCUCCAGCAGUGGCGAUGGUGUGGAGGUUGCCAGGUGGUGCGGCGUUGUGUCUACCGCGUCAUUGACGACGAGUGGUGGCGGCAUGGUGCAGCUGCAUAUCAACGAUGGAUGCGGCUGGAUGGACGAGCGCAGGGCGGUCGAGCUGUCUGGCGCCAUGGUGGCGUCGAUGACAGGCCUGGCAAGGUCUGUGCGUUAGUACCUGCUCUGGAGAUGGAUCGGUGGAAGAAGGCGGCGAUGCAGAGUACAUGA
rnacentral:rRNA from 1 species